UUAACCGUCGUUCAUUAUAUU
rnacentral:piRNA from 1 species